rnacentral:rRNA from 1 species
UACAGAGGUCCCGAGCGUUGUUCGGAUUCAUUGGGCGUAAAGGGUGCGUAGGCGGCGCGGUAAGUCGGGUGUGAAAUCUCGGAGCUUAACUCCGAAACUGCAUUCGAUACUGCCGUGCUUGAGGACUGGAGAGGAGACUGGAAUUUACGGUGUAGCGGUGAAAUGCGUAGAUAUCGUAAGGAAGACCAGUGGCGAAGGCGGGUCUCUGGACAGUUCCUGACACUGAGGCUCGAAGGCCAGGGGAGCAAACGGG